GACGAACGCUGGCGGCGUGCUUAACACAUGCAAGUCGAACGGUAAGGCCCUGCUUUUGUCGGGUGCUCGAGUGGCGAACGGGUGAGUAACACGUGAGUGACCUGCCCUUGACUUUGGGAUAACUUCAGGAAACUGGGGCUAAUACCGCAUAGGAGCUCCUGCUGCAUGGUGGGGGUGGGAAAGUGUCGGCGGUUGGGGCUGGACGCGCGGCUUAUCAGCUUGUUGGUGGGGUAGCGGCUUACCAAGGCUUUGCCGGGUCGCCGGCCUGAGAGGGUGAACGGGCUCAAGAGUCCUGCGAGACGGCCCAGAGUGCUACGGUGGGCAGCGGUGGGGAGUAUUGCGCAAUGAGCGGAAGUGUGAUGCAGCAACGCCGCGUUCGGAAAGACGGUUUUCGGGUUAUAAACCGCGUUCGCCUGUGACGAAGCGUGAGUGACGUUAAUGGGUAAAGAAGCACCGGCUAACUACGUG
rnacentral:rRNA from 1 species